GAUGAACGCUGGCGGCGUGCCUAAUACAUGCAAGUCGAGCGAACGGACGAGAAGCUUGCUUCUCUGAUGUUAGCGGCGGACGGGUGAGUAACACGUGGAUAACCUACCUAUAAGACUGGGAUAACUUCGGGAAACCGGAGCUAAUACCGGAUAAUAUUUUGAACCGCAUGGUUCAAAAGUGAAAGACGGUCUUGCUGUCACUUAUAGAUGGAUCCGCGCUGCAUUAGCUAGUUGGUAAGGUAACGGCUUACCAAGGCAACGAUGCAUAGCCGACCUGAGAGGGUGAUCGGCCACACUGGAACUGAGACACGGUCCAGACUCCUACGGGAGGAAGCAGUAGGGAAUCUUCCGCAAUGGGCGAAAGCCUGACGGAGCAACGCCGCGUGAGUGAUGAAGGUCUUCGGAUCGUAAAACUCUGUUAUUAGGGAAGAACAUAUGUGUAAGUAACUGUGCACAUCUUGACGGUACCUACUCAGAAAGCCACGGCUAACUACGUG
rnacentral:rRNA from 1 species